CAGACUCAUUAGUUGGAAGGGUUGCAAGUAAAGUAGAGAAGAAAGAACUGUGAAGAUCAAGGGCUGUUGGUGGAAGCUGAGGAGAGGUCCUGUGGAACAGGAUUAAAAUGAAGAUUUUAGGAAAAAAAGAAGAUCAUAAUCUGUGAAUUCCACGAGACAAAUAUAUACAUACACAAAUUAAUUGCUAAUUAUGAUGUGCAUAAAAAAGUGACAAACCAGUAUAUUGAAAAAGGUAAUUUCAUGGGUUGUUGCUUGAAGAGCAUUUAUUAAGGUGUAUAGCCAAAAGAAGCUGGCAACUAAAUGUGUCCUACAAUUCCUUACUGAAUCAGGGCAUCAAGUGAUGAGGUUUUUCCCUUGCUGACCUGUUCCUGUGCAUGAACAUCUUUGUAGUUGCACUGAAGUGAGGCAGGUUGGAAAAAAAAGAGAAACAACAAACAGCUGAUCUGUAUCUCAUUAAUUUUCGUUGGCUUGAGAAUAUAUCCCUUAAUACAUGGAUUAACCCCACAAAAGUAUGAUCAUCAUGGUUUACAAGCUAAGCAGUGUUCCCCAGUGUCAUGGUUCUGCUUGGAAAUAUGUUUGGCUACACGGGAAGAGUAUCCAUUGCAAUUUAUGCUUCCUGACCUUUUGUGAAGCUAAAAUAAAUUGCUUUUUGGAAAGACACCAGAGGCUCUCCUCUCUGUUCCCUUCAAAGAAAUCCGACCUUACAGUUGUUUCUUGUGGAGACAGUAGAAUCUUCUUUGAGCCAGAGAAAAGGAAGCAGGAAAGGGGCUGCUUUGCCUGUCAUGCCUUAUGCACUUUACUCCUUGUUGCUCUAACUGAGUACCUGGCACCCCCCCAGCUUCUGUACCUGUGCACAAUCUCCUGGAGCCCCGAUGUGGCUGCUGCUGUUCCCUCUAAUGCAUAGCCAGAAAGGAUGAGAAGCCAUGCACAGAUUGGACAGAGCUAAUGAAACUAAGCAUGUGUGUUUGGAAGAAAAUGACAGGCUGAGAAGAGAAUUGACCAUGAAGUUCUCAAUCUUAACCAUGUGCUUCUCUUAUCAAAGUCCGAGGCUCAAGAUGACAACAAUGAGGAAUGCCAAAGGAGAAGUGAGUCCUGCAGGGACCGGAGGACAACAAAGACAAUUUUCAAUAUUUUUAUUAGGACCUCACGAUGUACACAUGAAAAAUUAAGUUCAGAAUAUGAACUGCUCUUCAGAUGGCGCCGUUUAAGUCUGGAGGAUGUUAACAUUCCAGCUGCAUGACAAAGGUCCCCCACCCCCUGUGUCGAUACUCAUCCUGCUCAAAGGGGCAAUAACAUCUAAGGAUAAACAGGCUGGGCACCGAAUCCUGCUUGAAGGCUACUUUCACAGACUUAUCUUAGGAUUUCCUAACAUCCCCUUGCCAGGGUCAGCUUGCCCUUGAGGGCUAGGCUGUCUAGCUUUACCUCUUUGCAGUGCUCCAGCUGUUUCACCAUUUCCACAAUGUACGCUUUGGCAAGAGAGGAUUAUUAGUGGUAGAGGAGAAAAAGCAGCAGGAAAGUACCUGCCCCUAAAGUAUGGAAGAGAGGGUUUCCAUGCUGUUUUAACAGCCACUCGUGUAGUCAGGUGACAUCAUGGGGAAAGAAUGUAGACUUUGUAUGGACAAAUCCAACUGUGGCACCCCUGUGCUGGCCUGCAUGGAUGCUGGGAGCUGGCAGUGGCAAGUGGUGGCAGGGUGGCAUUGGGCAUUGGGAGGCCCUGGGCUUGUUCCCCCAGUGCUCAGGGCACCUGAGUGUGAAACCCAUCCCUUCAGCAUCUGGCAUUCAGCCUUACCUGUUUAAUAGAAGUUUAGCAGGGGUAGCAUGUGUGGUUCACUUGAAUGAUGUUCCUCUGGAGCAUGCUUGAAUCUGCCCUACUCUCCUAACUGUGAAGAAAGCAGCAAAAGAAACUGAACUGUCUUAUUUUCCUGUCCUUUCAAAGAGGCCGCACUGCUGGGGAGACUGCUGCUCUGCCCUCUCCCUGGCCCUGAUGGUAGCUCAGAGGGGCUGGGGCCUGGAGGUGCGCAGCCGCCUGGGCUUUGCAGGGAGGGGGCAGCUCUCACUGCCAGGGAGGCACAAAAUCAGCAGCUUGCCGUCUGCUUUUCCCUCUCUGUAUUGCUGCCUGACGCCUUGCUCCGCCUCGUAAAAACAAACAUGCGCAGCCUGACUUCCAGGUGCCUUUA